GCCUAUGGCCAUACCACCCUGAACGCGCCAGAUCGCAUCGGAUCUCAGAAGCUAAGCAGUGUCGGGCCUGGUUAGUACUUGGAUGGGAGAAGGUCCUGGGGCCGCCAUCUCCU
ensembl:rRNA 5S_rRNA 5S ribosomal RNA